rnacentral:rRNA from 1 species
GAUGAACGCUAGCGGCAGGCCUAACACAUGCAAGUCGAGGGAGAAGCCCUUUCGGGGGCAGAAACCGGCGCACGGGUGCGUAACGCGUAUGCAACCUACCUUUCACAGGGGGAUAGCCCGAAGAAAUUUGGAUUAAUACCCCAUAAUAUUAUUGGAUGGCAUCAUUUGAUAAUUAAAACUGCGGUGGUGAAAGAUGGGCAUGCGUCCUAUUAGCUAGUUGGAGUGGUAACGGCACCCCAAGGCUACGAUAGGUAGGGGUCCUGAGAGGGAGAUCCCCCACACGGGUACUGAGACAGGGACCAGACUCCUACGGGAGGCAGCAGUGAGGAAUAUUGGUCAAUGGUCGGAAGACUGAACCAGCCAUGCCGCGUGCAGGAAGAAUGCCUUAUGGGUUGUAAACUGCUUUUAUAUGGGAAGAAUAAGGUGUACGUGUACAUUGAUGACGGUACCAUAUGAAUAAGCAUCGGCUAACUCCGUG